AAUCCACCCCUGGCUUCAGGCAGCCAGGAUCUGGGCACUUACACACAUACCCAGCAUGCACAAGGAGAACCUGAGGCCUUCCCAUGUGGUCCAGCCUUGGCAGAACUUUACGCUACCCCUGUUAACACUAUGACUGGCCCCUCUUGUUUGUUUGUUUGUUUUUUAAGUUUUUUAUUUUAUCUUAGCAUAUACAUUCAUGCACUUUUUAUUGUAUAACUUUUUUUAAUUGAGUCUUAUAUAAUGUAAUAAAACCUAUAUUCCUCUCACAUUUUACCUUAAUGCCUAUUGAUAAAUUUUUUAACAGUUGAUUCUAGGCUCACCUGUUUGAGGAUGGGAAAGAUACUGCUCUGCAAAAAGGAAUGAUUGGAAAAGUGGCAGUUGGAACUACACAGCUCUGAGUUUGGAUUUCCUCUGCACUAUACAGUUGAAUACAGAAAUUGCCGAAGUUGUGACUUAUUUUGUAAUCCUUAAUCUCUGAGUUUGGGGUACCUUGUAAAAGUUUUAAGAACAUCCUGAAACAUCUCCAGUAUUUAGUUGGAUGUAGUUUGCAAAUCACAAUUUGAAAACUUAAUGAAAUUUCUAAACCGUUGGCAAUAAUGAUAUAAUACAGAAUAAUAAUGGAGUAAAAAUAAGAGUAAUUGCUAUCUAAUCCUCUUUAGGCUUUUGUGCCAGUCAUUAAUUCAUUUCUAUUCAUGUUAUGCAAUCUUAUUCUGAAAAUCUCAAUUUUAAGUAUUACUUUAGAAGAUCUAUGUUGCCUUUUUUUUAAAGUAUUAAGCAAUUCAAGAAAAGUAAACAAUUUUAAAUGAAUUUUAAUAUAACUUCCCAGUAAUAAAACAACUGUUGAUAUUUCUGUGCACAUAUAAAUAUAUGGUGAAUUUGCAUUUUGUUUUUAGUCAGUGUACAUGUCCAAAUUUACCAGUUAAUAAACAUGUAUUGACAUUAUCACUA